CAAUUUUCUGACAAAGCCGCCAUCUUGGUGCUGCAGGAAAGCCGUUUGAGAUAUUGGUGAAAUUCAAACACUUUGUGAGAUGACAGAAUAUUGCUGAAGGAUCCUACAUGGAAGCUGGCUGAUUACACGGAGUGAUUCCUCUGGUGUGGAGAAAUAAACACUGUUGAAAGAGGUGAGUUUAAGUUUAUAGUCACACAAAACCUAUCCAUGUAUUUUUAAAAAGUCAAAGUUCUAGCUUGCUCUGUAUUUCAUGCUGUCAAUAUGAGAUGCAUACUAAUGUUGUGUGUUAUUAUUGCAGCUGAGAAGAUGGCCAAGAUAUCCUUAUUGCUGGAUGGUAGCUCUGGUCGUAGUGGACCAUAUCUGCAAAUGCUUCUGAACAUUGACAGAAUUUCUAAAGAUGACUGAGAAUAUUACUGAAGGAUCCUACAUGGACGCUGUGUG